GCGCCUAUAGUUCAAUGGAUAGAGCACGGGCUUGCGGAGCCUGAGAUCGAGGUUCGACUCCUCGUAGGCGCG
rnacentral:tRNA from 1 species